rnacentral:lncRNA from 10 species
UUAAUAUCCUAACCUUGUUAUCUCUUGCCUCCUCCUCUCUGUUUUUAUUUGUUUUCAAGGUUUUUCAUAAAAACAAAUACUAGUUUUGAAGGAUUUUUUCUUACAUUUAACUGCUCAAACAUAAUAUUUUUGGGGACACCUUCUUAUGGAGGAGUUUGAAAACUUUUUAUGUUCUUGAGUUUGUCCAAUAUCAGCUGCUUUUGGGAAAGGAAACAAAAAAGUGAAGGAAAUAUUUUCAGGAAGUUUUUCUCAACCUACAAAAGCUUUAAAAAUAAGAAAUUGACAAGUAACUAGACUAUGAUAUGCCUUUGCUUUCAUCACAAAAGUUCAUCAGCAAACAGGAAAAAAAAAGACCCCUAAAAAGCCUAAAGCUUUAAAUUGUCUCCAAAUUCUUAAAAUUAGUCAUCUGUCUUAGAUGUACAUUUAUUUGUCAGCAACCUUGUCUGAUUUGAAAUAGAUGAUAUGAUAAAACAUGCAUUAACAUGAGUAGUUUAUUUUUGUUGGGCUCCAGAGUGUAAGAAUAUUUUAUUUUUUGUUUGACAUAAAAAGUGAAGUUGACUUGCGUGAAUAACAAUCCAGCAUGCUUUCAUUCUUUCUGAAUAACACAGAAUAACUGUGCUACAGCUUCUGGAUUAGUUGUCUAUUUCCAGUUAGAGGAGUGUGUGACAUUUAUGGUUUGGGAAUAGCAUAUUUCUAAAGCAUAAUAUAAUACAAGAAAUAGUGAUGCUCUGUUUUCACAAAUUUAUCUUUUCAUUCACCCAUCCAUCCAUUUAACAGAUAUUUAUUGAGUGCCUAUCUUAGGUGUAAUAGUAUUUAAGACUGAAAGAAGGAGAAUUUCUAACCUGUCAUAAGAGUAAGGUUUCGUAAAUUCAUCUUUCCUGAACUUAGGCAUUAGUUUGGCAAUAUGUGAAUAUGAUGAACUCUAAACCUAGCUGAUCUGUAUAUGUAUGAUGUAUAUAUGUCAUAUGUAUGAUAUAUAUGAAAUAUUCCCAUAACUGCAUAUGAACACAUAUGCCAUAUACAUAUAUACCAACGGGCUGAAUAACAUACUCUUUUGUCUUGGAUAAUCUGUUUUCUGGGUUAUGUAUCUGUUGUCUUUGGCCUACUCAGGGAUUUUUAUUUCUUUAAAUAACUUAUCUUUUGGACAUAUUUUUAUAUUAUUUGGAAAACUUUCCAAUAUUCCUGUUACAAAGUGGUGUCUGUUUUCAGUGAUGGCUAUUUCAUCAGUGCUUGAAAUAGUGUGCACUGUGUUGCACAGGUUUUUCAUUUUUCUAUUGAGUAGAUAUUUUUAAAUUAACAUACACAUUUUUCUCUUUAAAGGGUCAUAUCUAUUAGGCCUUUCCCUGCUGGUAACUUAAAAUGAUUAUUUGUGAAUUUUUUACUAAGUUUCAUCAAGAUCUUAAAAAGAGAGAAGAAAAUAAAAAGUAUUAUUUAUAUGUCAGUGCCAACUUUGAAGGUAAAACAGUAGUAGUAACUUUUGGGAGAAAUUCUAAAAACUACUUUAAAAAGAAGCGUGCACAUAAAAUAAAUAUCUUUCUAUCCAAGGCUUGUCAUUUUAUAUGCUUUUAUUGUAAAUUUAAUAUAUACUACUUUAAAAAAUUGAACUAUACAGAAUUUAUAAAAUACAACUUUCUCUACUUACCCCACCUCUUAUUUUCUAGGGGUAACCACUGUUAAUGGUUUGGUAUGUGUCCUUCCAGACACUUUCUACAAAUAUACAAAUAAGUGUGUUUGUGUAUGUGUCUGUGUGUGUAUUCAUUUUAUACAAAUAGAAAAAUAUUCUUACUGUGCUGUGACUCUUUGUCAUUUUAUUAUAUAUUAAUAGAUACCUUUCCAUAAGCGUUUAAAUAGAUUUACCUCAUUCUUUUAUAAAUUACUGCAUAAUCCAUUGUAGGAGUAUACUUUAACUUAUUGAAUUAGUCCCCUGUUGAAUGGACUACAAGAUUAUUUUCACUUCUCUAUUACAAAGAAAGCAAGAGUGAAGACCCUUUUGCAUAUAUUUUUGUCACCUUGCAUGAACAUAUCCAUAAGGUUGUACAUUUGUUUUUUACAAGAUCUUUGUAAUAAACAUUUUAAUGUAAUUUCAGGAGAUGAGGUCAUAGAGAUAAUAUGAGACCCUUUUUUGGAUAAAAAGAAAGAUUGUACAGGAGUGCAUAAUUUUUAAAGAAAAUCGUCUUUUGAAGGGUAAUUUCCUUUCUGCCUGAUUAGCCAAAUAAAUACCUUGCCAAAACUUACAAUAGGAAAUUUUUUUUCAAUAAAAAUAAAAUUUGAGG